UUACGGCCAUAUCACGUUAAAACAUCGAUUCACGUACGAUCACUGAAGUUAAGCAACACUGAAACUGGUCAGUAGCUAGAUGGGUGACCGCUUGGGAAUACCAGGUGC